ensembl:lncRNA
AUGUUCUCAAGACUGCUAGGCUCACUGGCCCGUCACCGCCUGGCGUCCCGGGGGACGAGCCGCAGUGACGGGUUCACAUCCCCGAGUCAUUCAAGACCUUCCGGGACUGGACGGUCGCCUGGUUCCCACGCCUGGUCCCACGCCUGGUUCCAGACCUGGUCCCACGCCUGGUUCCAGACCUGGUUCCAGACCUGGUCCCACGCCUGGUUCCAGACCUGGUCCCACGCCUGGUCCCACGCCUGGUCCCACGCCUGGUUCCAGACCUGGUUCCAGACCUGGUUCCAGACCUGGUCCCAGGCCUGGUCCCACGCCUGGUUCCACGCCUGGUCCCACGCCUGGUCCCACGCCUGGUCCCACGCCUGGUUCCAGACCUGGUUCCAGGUCUGGUUCCACGCCUGGUCCCACGCCUGGUUCCAGACCUGGUCCCACGCCUGGUUCCAGACCUGGUUCCAGACCUGGUCCCACGCCUGGUUCCAGACCUGGUCCCACGCCUGGUUCCACGCCUGGUUCCAGACCUGGUCCCUGCCCGUCCAGUUCCGUGUAGAUCUUGUAGCCCCGCCCCUCGGCAUGAAGGGGGCGGGGCCCGGGAGCUUUUUGGUUUCAUGGUUUCUGUUGUUUUUCUAACGGACCGACGUCCGAACUGUAACCUGCAGAUUUUUCUAUUAGAUUCUAUGACAGAUAGUCAAGUGUGAACCCGAGGCCACGAGACUGUCGCUGGCUGAGGAAGAGGAGGAGGAGGAUGAUGAGGAUGAUGAUUAACACGAGGGCUAAUAAACAGGCUCCUUCUUUCUGACUCUGUGUUUCUAUCUGAUUCAGAUUCUGUCACAUCAGGUCCUUAGAAGUACAGUGAGACCAACGAGUGUGUGUGAGAACAGCAUCUUUUCAUGUCCUGACAUGAUAAGUGGGAUUUAUCAUUUAUUCAUGUUCCCAGAGCGGAGACAGAUGGUCUGACUGACAGUGUGAUGUCAUCUGUCCUUAAAACAUUACUGUAAUCACACACACACACACACACACACACACCUCCAGGGAUCGAUGAAGCGGCUCUGAGGAAGACGAGCUGUCAGAGGAAGUCAGUCAGCAGCUGCUUAGCUUAGCUUAGCUUAGCUUAGCUUAGCAUAACGACUGAUUCACAAGUCGCCUCUCAAACAAACUGCAGAGUCAAAAUGAAUCAGUCGAUUUCCACUCAAAACAAUAACAUGACACAAAACUAAGGAAAUGUGUGAGCAACAUGUGUUGCCACGGUAACAACGUGACAUUGAAAGAAUAACAUUUGAAACCAAAAUUGUCUGAGUCGAACACACGUAAAUAUGUGUGUGUGUAUGAUACCUCAGAUGUGGUUAUCAAACCCUUAUGACACAGAAAUGUAACUGAGUCUUGAUAUUUUACUGUUUGACCCUUAACUUCAUUUUAAAUAAAAGAAAAAUACUAGAUGAAUAAAACUAAAGAUAUAUUAAACAAUCAUUUAAUGAAACGAUAUAUAAAACUAGAGAUAUAUAUAGAAGUUGAAUUAAGAAACUUCUUUUCUUUUCUGCAUCUUUUAUUCUGUAAAAUUGGUUUUUAAACCAGUGAAACAAACAGAUAAUAAAAUCUGUGAAAGAAGAAAACUGUCAAACUCAUAAAAUAAGGAAAAUAAAAAGAUUGAAAACUUAGAACAUAAAAUAUAAAAGUAGGACAGACAGACAGACAGUAGGACAGACAGACAGUAGGACAGACAGAGAAAGACAGUAGGACAGACAGACAGUAGGACAGACAGACAGUAGGACAGACAGAGAAAGACAGUAGGACAGACAGGCAGUAGGACAGAGAGACAGUAGGACAGACAGAGAGACAGUAGGACAGACAGGCAGUAGGACGGACAGAGAGACAGUAGGACAGACAGAGAAAGACAGUAGGACGGACAGAGAGACAGUAGGACAGACAGGCAGUAAGACAGAGAGAGAGACAGAGACAGUAGGAAAGACAGACUGUAGGACAGACAGAGAGACAGUAGGACAGACAGUAGGUCAGAGACUGUAAGACAGACAGUAGGACAGACAGACAGUAGGAAAGACUGACAGACAGACAGUAGGACAGAGAGACAGUAGGACAGACAGACUGUAGGACAGACAAACAGUAGGACAGAAACAGUAGGACAGACAGACAGUAGGACUGACAGACAGAGAGUAGGACAGAGACUGUAGGACAGACAGACAGUAGGACAGACAGAAGGACAGAGACUCUAGGACAGACAGAAAGUAGGGCAGACAGACUGUAGGACAGACAGUAGGACAGACAGACAGACAGACAGUAGGACAGAAAGACAGACAGUAGGACAGAGACUGUAGGACAGACAGACAGUAGGAAAGACUGACAGACAGACAGUAGGACAGAGAGACAGUAGGACAGACAGACAGAGUAGGACAGAGACUGUAGGACAGACAGACAGUAGGACAGACAGACAGAGAGACAGUAGAACAGACAGACAGAGAGUAGGACAGAGACUGUAGGACAGACAGACAGUAGGACAGACAGACUGUAGGACAGACAGACAGACAGUAGGACAGAGAGACAGUAGGACAGAGAGAUAGACAGACUGUAGGACAGAGACUGUAGGACAGACAGACAUAGAGACAGACAGACAGACUGUAGGACAGACAGUAUGACUGUGACAGAAAUGCGUGGUAAAUAGCAGUGCUGUAUGAAUGUGUGUGAAUGGGUGAAUAUGACUUUCCUGUAAAGCGCUUUGAGUCUAUAUGACUAGAAAGGAGCUAUAUAAAUACAGUCCAUUUAGUCCAUUUACAGACAGA